UGACCUCGAAAGUGAUUCGUCCAAAGGAAGAUGAAGUCCCAUAUAAAAAUGCAAGAAUUUAGGGCUUCUCCAAGUAGUUCUCUUAUGCAAGAAAGGACCAAGCAUCAAAAUAAUUAGAAGUCUAGUUUUUAAAAUAAAAGGCAUGCAAAUUGAGAUGGAUAUUGAUAGCAUUAGAUGCACGCUACAUAUAUAGAACGAUGGGAGCACCUC
rnacentral:lncRNA from 1 species